CGCCGAAAAUGCUUUGGAUAGUAAUUUGCUUAUCCAUUCUGUAAUUGAAGGAGUAAUAGAUUGAGAAUAAAUGAACAACUAUCGGUGUUACCUACAUUCGAACAAUGGAACAUUUUUCUCGUUUGAAUGUCAUCGGACGCGACUCUCUCGCUUAUGCGGAAACCGAAAUUGUACCGCACCGCCCAAACGCGGCGUGGUCACGUAUGCAAACAGAAAAAGUUGUCUGAAAUCUCAAAGCGCAAACAUGCGCUUAUGCUUUUUUGUACUAUGCAUAGCCAAUGAGACAAACUUUCACGUAUUACAAACGGUAUUGCGAUAUAAUGCAAUAUAUUAAACGUUUGAAUGCCCUAUUUAUCCUAGAACUUAAACAUUGUCUACGGAUAAAUUUAAUAAAUAUUUCUUUUUAAACAAAAUGUUAUAAAAAACCC
rnacentral:lncRNA from 1 species